rnacentral:rRNA from 1 species
CAAGGAAAGGCGGCAGCUAUACAUGCAGUCGAGCGGUAGAGAUGCUUUCGGGUGUCUUGAGAGCGGCGCACGGGUGCGUAACACGUAUGCAACCUACCUUAUACAGGGGGAUAGCCCGGAGAAAUCCGGAUUAAUACCCCAUGGCAUCAUUUAACUGCAUGGUUUGAUGAUUAAAGAUUUAUCGGUAUAAGAUGGGCAUGCGUCUGAUUAGCUAGUUGGUGGGGUAACGGCCCACCAAGGCGACGAUCAGUAGGGGUUCUGAGAGGAAGGUCCCCCACACUGGCACUGAGAUACGGGCCAGACUCCUACGGGAGGCAGCAGUAGGGAAUAUUGGGCAAUGGACGAGAGUCUGACCCAGCCAUGCCGCGUGCAGGAAGACGGCCUAUUGGGUUGUAAACUGCUUUUAUACGGGAAGAAAAGGCCCAUGCGUGGGACAUUGCCGGUACCGUAUGAAUAAGCACCGGCUAACUCCGUGCCAGCAGCCGCGGUAAU